rnacentral:lncRNA from 1 species
GCGGCCUCGAAGGCCAUGAAGUGUAUUUUCCGAGUACGUCCCUACCCCCGAUCUAUCCUACCGAAACGGAGCUGAUCGAAUCGAACGAAUCUCAUCGAUCUGAACAUGUGCGAUGCUGCUAGAUUUGUUCGAAUAGAGGAUAACAUAUCUUUAGGAAAAGAUCAAUAGUAAGGACGACUAGCGUGUGAGAAGUUUUGUUUUUGGAGUUUCAAAGGUUUACGUCGACAUUGUCAUUGAUUUACGGUGUUUCUUUGAUUUGAAGCGUCCAACAAUGGUUUUGAAAAAAAAAAUCUUCUUGUUCUCCAAUUUAUCCACAUUAGAUGGAUGUGCCAAUAAAAUAUUGUGUUUUCCUGUAGUCUGAUAUGAUUUUUUUUCCUGAGCUUCAUAUAUUCCAUUGAGUCAUAUUUUGGUUGCUUCUAUAACUUUUUUGGUUGAUACAAAGCAAAAUGCAUACUAAAACUUUAGCACUCAUAUAUAGUUUGCAUGGAUUGAUCGUCUUAUUCAAUUUCCUUUCUUUCCUAUAAUCCUAUAUGAUUUUUUUCCUGUGGUUCAGAUAGUUCAUCAACUCACGCUUUGCUUGUCACUAUAACUUUUGUCCAGUGUAAAGCAAAAUUCUCACUGAAACUUAUAUCUGGUUUAAUUUGCAGGGAUUGAUUGUCUUACUGUGGGUAUAUUUGAUCGACUUAAUGAGAAGAUACGUGGCCACCCAUAGUGUAGAAGAAUUAUUUUUCACUAUGCUUCCUCUGGGUAUUCUUGCUGCAGCUGUGUCAAUGAUCUUUUGUUUUCUGAUGGGGAGCAUAGAUAGAUGCAUCCCACCAAUAAUUUCACCACCUUAAGUGUAG